AAUCUUCCACAAUGGGCGAAAGCCUGAUGGAGCAACGCCGCGUGAGUGAAGAAGGUUUUCGGAUCGUAAAACUCUGUUGUAAGGCAAGAACAAGUACAGUCGUCACUUGCUGUACCUUGACUGUACCUUAUUAGAAAGCCACGGCUACCUACGUGCCAGCAGCCGCGUUAAUACGUAGGUGGCAAGCGUUGUUCGGAAUUAUUGUGCGGAAAGAGAGCGCAGGCGGUCCUUUAAGUCGGAUGUGAAAGGCCACGGCUGAACCGUGGAGGGUCAUUGGAAACUGGGGGACUUGAGUGCAGAAGAGGAAAGUGGAAUUCCAAGUGUAGCGGUGAAAUGCGUAGAGAUUUGGAGGAACACCAGUGGCGAAGGCGACUUUCUGGUCUGUAACUGACGCUGAGGCGCGAAAGCGUGGGGAGCAAACAGG
rnacentral:rRNA from 1 species